rnacentral:rRNA from 1 species
UACAGAGGUCCCGAGCGUUGUUCGGAUUCACUGGGCGUAAAGGGCGCGUAGGCGGCUUUAUAAGUCGGGGGUGAAAGCCUGUGGCUCAACCACAGAAUUGCCUUCGAUACUGUAGAGCUUGAGACCGGAAGAGGUAAGUGGAACUGCGAGUGUAGAGGUGAAAUUCGUAGAUAUUCGCAAGAACACCAGUGGCGAAGGCGGCUUACUGGUCCGGUUCUGACGCUGAGGCGCGAAAGCGUGGGGAGCAAACAGG